GACGAACGCUGGCGGCGUGCUUAACACAUGCAAGUCGAACGGAAAGGCCCUGCUUUUGUGGGGUGCUCGAGUGGCGAACGGGUGAGUAACACGUGAGUAACCUGCCCUUGACUUUGGGAUAACUUCAGGAAACUGGGGCUAAUACCGGAUAGGAGCUCCUGCUGCAUGGUGGGGGUUGGAAAGUUUCGGCGGUUGGGGAUGGACUCGCGGCUUAUCAGCUUGUUGGUGGGGUAGUGGCUUACCAAGGCUUUGACGGGUAGCCGGCCUGAGAGGGUGACCGGGCCAUUGUGGGCUAGAAAACGGCCCAGGCCCCCGCGGGGGGGGGGGGGGGGGAAUUUUUGACAAGGGGGGGGGGCCCGUAGCGCCCACCGCCGGGGGGGGGAGCGGGGCUUUGGGUUUUAAACCCGUUUGCGCUUGUGAAAAGGGGGGUGGGGGGGAAUGGGGAAAAAAGCCCCGGACAAACUCCGUC
rnacentral:rRNA from 1 species